rnacentral:rRNA from 1 species
CAAGAGCGUAUGUAAAAGUUGUUGCAGUUAAAAAGCUCGUAGUUGAACCUUGGGUUUGGUUGGCCGGUCCGCUUUUUUGCGAGUACUGGAUUCAACCGAGCCUUUCCUUCUGGCUAACCAGUCGUUUCGGCGGCUGGCGAACCAGGAUUUUUACUUUUAGAAAAUUAGAGUGUUCAAAGCAGGCAUUAGCUUGAAUAUAUUAGCAUGGAAUAAUAGAAUAGGACGUUAUGGUUCUAUUUUGUUGGUUUCUAGGACCAUCGUAAUGAUUAAUAGGGACGGUCGGGGGCAUCAGUAUUCAGUUGUCAGAGGUGAAAUUCUUGGAUUUACUGAAGACUAACUACUGCGAAAGCAUUUGCCAAGGACGUUUUCAUUAA